rnacentral:rRNA from 1 species
AGUGUAGAUUCAGAGUUUGAUCCUGGCUCAGGACGAACGCUGGCGGCGUGCCUAAUACAUGCAAGUAGAACGCUGAAGAGAGGAGCUUGCUCUUCUUGGAUGAGUUGCGAACGGGUGAGUAACGCGUAGGUAACCUGCCUUGUAGCGGGGGAUAACUAUUGGAAACGAUAGCUAAUACCGCAUAACAAUGGAUGACACAUGUCAUUUAUUUGAAAGGGGCAAUUGCUCCACUACAAGAUGGACCUGCGUUGUAUUAGCUAGUAGGUGAGGUAAUGGCUCACCUAGGCGACGAUACAUAGCCGACCUGAGAGGGUGAUCGGCCACACUGGGACUGAGACACGGCCCAG